CUUCACAGAGGAGAGGGCAGACUCCGAGACACCUGUGUCCCAUCUAGUGGGUCCUGCUGUUCUUCUAGGGGCCCACAGUGUGUCCUCGCCAGGGAGGUGCUGGAAGUGGUAUGGGGAGCCUGGCUGAGCAUAGCCCCGGGCCUGAGCUGGUGGUAAACAGCACAACUGACUGAGAGCCAAGGUUUCCCAGAGCAGGACGGUCUCCGUUCCCUCAACUAAAAAACACAAGGAGAAGAGCCUGGGCUUGUGUGUAGCCCAUGCCCGCAACUCUACUGUUCUAGCUAGCGGCCGGGGCAGGAGGACCGUGAAGUCCAUCUCCAAAGAGGGAAAGGAAGAUGGCAAGAAUCUCGCAGUGACUAAAACAAGCAAAAUCUCCUGCCCUCAGGGAGCAAGGAACCAAAGUGGAGCAAGGCAGACAGUAAACAAACACAUCUUUAAAAAAAAAUAAAAACUGUGUCAGGAAGUGAAGUGCUGUGUGUGUGAAUGACCCAGCUAAGAAGAUCAAUGAACGAAAUCGUUUAAAGGUACCACGUGCCUGCAGGAGCCCUUGGAGGCCAGAAAAGGAUAUAGGA